rnacentral:rRNA from 1 species
UACAGAGGUCUCAAGCGUUGUUCGGAUUCAUUGGGCGUAAAGGGUGCGUAGGUGGCGCGGUAAGUCGGGUGUGAAAUCUCGGAGCUUAACUCCGAAAUUGCAUUCGAUACUGCCGUGCUCGAGGACUGGAGAGGAGACUGGAAUUCAUGGUGUAGCAGUGAAAUGCGUAGAGAUCAUGAGGAAGACCAGUGGCGAAGGCGGCAUCCUGGACCAACACUGACACUGAUGAGCGAAAGCCAGGGGAGCAAACGGG